rnacentral:rRNA from 1 species
AUUGAACGCUGGCGGCAGGCCUAACACAUGCAAGUCGAGCGAGCGGCGGACGGGUGAGUAAUGUCUGGGGAACUGCCUGAUGGAGGGGGAUAACUACUGGAAACGGUGGCUAAUACCGCAUACUAUCGGAUGUGCCCAUAUGGGAUUAGCUAGUAGGUGGGGUAAAGGCUCACCUAGGCGACGAUCCCUAGCUGGUCUGAGAGGAUGACCAGCCACACUGGAACUGAGACACGGUCCAGACUCCUACGGGAGGCAGCAGUGGGGAAUAUGGCACAAUGGGCGCAAGCCUGAUGCAGCCAUGCCGCGUGUGUGAAGAAGGCCUUCGGGUUGUAAAGUACUUUCAGCGGGGAGGCGUUACCCACAGAAGAAGCACCGGCUAACUCCGUGCCAGCAGCCGCGGUAAUUC